GAUGAACGCUGGCGGCGUGCCUAAUACAUGCAAGUCGAACGAAGAUCUAGCUUGCUAGAUCUCAGUGGCGAACGGGUGAGUAAUACAUAAAUAAUCUGCCCAUAUGACUGGGAUAACUAUUGGAAACGAUAGCUAAUACCGGAUAGGUUGAUCGGAGGCAUCUCUGAUGAAUUAAAGUAGGAUUUCUACACAAAUGGAUGAGUUUAUGGCGCAUUAGUUAGUUGGUGGGGUAACGGCCUACCAAGACGAUGAUGCGUAGCCGACCUGAGAGGGUGACCGGCCACACUGGGACUGAGACACGGCCCAGACUCCUACGGGAGGCAGCAGUAGGGAAUUUUCGGCAAUGGGCGCAAGCCUGACCGAGCAACGCCGCGUGAGUGAUUAAGGCCUUCGGGUUGUAAAGCUCUGUUGUAAGGGAAGAACAUUCAGGAUAGGAAAUGAUCUUGAACUGACGGUACCUUACCAGAGAGCCACGGCUAACUACGUGCCAGCAGCCGCGGUAACAC
rnacentral:rRNA from 1 species